UCCAAGAACUUAAGUAUUCCGGUUAAGGACCGUUGGGUAAAGAAAGUAUCUUUGUAUAAAUGUUGUAGGAGAGAGUAACUGAGGGGGGGCUGGAAAAAAACUCAGGUACACAUGUAGACAUAUCUUGAGGGAGGAGGAGAGAUAAUUCAUCUCUGACUCCCAACAGACAAGAAGAAAGGAGAAAGGAAGCUUAGAUCCUCAGUAUCCAUCAUUAAUGGCAUUGUAUCAAAGCUGAUUUAAGGUCUGGACCGGUUAAAUUACGAACCCAUGAAGGAACAAAUCUUGGAUCUUCCCAGAAUAUGUUGUGGCCUCUGGCAAUGAUUUGGUUAGCUCGAACGAAUUCCAGCAUUUGAUCAGAAAAUUUGAUCAGCAUUUUACCUGAUAUGGUGGAUUUCCAAGAAUUGUGUUUCUGAUGGCAGAACCAAGUGGAAAAUCUCUAGACA